GGUUGACCUCGGAUCAGGUAGGAAUACCCGCUGAACUUAAGCAUAUCAAUAAGCGGAGA
rnacentral:rRNA from 1 species